AUUGAACGCUGGCGGCAGGCCUAACACAUGCAAGUCGAGCGGUAGCACAGGGAGCUUGCUCCUGGGUGACGAGCGGCGGACGGGUGAGUAAUGUCUGGGAAACUGCCUGAUGGAGGGGGAUAACUACUGGAAACGGUAGCUAAUACCGCAUAACGUCGCAAGACCAAAGAGGGGGACCUUCGGGCCUCCUGCCAUCAGAUGUGCCCAGAUGGGAUUAGCUAGUAGGUGGGGUAACGGCUCACCUAGGCGACGAUCCCUAGCUGGUCUGAGAGGAUGACCAGCCACACUGGAACUGAGACACGGUCCAGACUCCUACGGGGGGCAGCAGUGGGGAAUAUUGCACAAUGGGCGCAAGCCUGAUGCAGCCAUGCCGCGUGUAUGAAGAAGGCCUUCGGGUUGUAAAGUACUUUCAGCGGGGAGGAAGGCGAUAAGGUUAAUAACCUUGUCGAUUGACGUUACCCGCAGAAGAAGCACCGGCUAACUCCGUGCCAGCAGCCGCCGUAG
rnacentral:rRNA from 1 species